UGAGGAAUAUUGGUCAAUGGACGUAAGUCUGAACCAGCCAAGUAGCGUGCAGGAUGACGGCCCUAUGGGUUGUAAACUGCUUUUAUGCGGGGAUAAAGUUGGGGACGCGUCCCUUUUGCAGGUACCGCAUGAAUAAGGACCGGCUAAUUCCGUGCCAGCAGCCGCGGUAAUACGGAAGGUCCGGGCGUUAUCCGGAUUUAUUGGGUUUAAAGGGAGCGUAGGCCGGCUUUUAAGCGUGUUGUGAAAUGCCGCGGCUCAACCGUGGCACUGCAGCGCGAACUGGAGGCCUUGAGUGCGCGGGAGGUAGGCGGAAUUCGUGGUG
rnacentral:rRNA from 1 species